GACGAACCGUGCGAACGUUGUUCGGAAUCACUGGGCUUAAAGGGCGCGUAGGCGGUUGAUCAAGUCUGGGGUGAAAUCUUUCGGCUUAACCGGAAAAGUGCCUUGGAUACUGGUCAGCUGGAGGGAGGUAGGGGCAGUUGGAACUUCCAGUGGAGCGGUGAAAUGCGUUGAUAUUGGAAGGAACGCCGGUGGCGAAAGCGGCUCUCUGGGACGGUACUGACGCUGAGACGCGAAAGCGUGGGGAGCGAACAGG
rnacentral:rRNA from 1 species